rnacentral:rRNA from 1 species
GACGGAGGAUGCAAGUGUUAUCCGGAAUCACUGGGCGUAAAGCGUCUGUAGGUGGUUUAAUAAGUCAACUGUUAAAUCUUGAGGCUCAACCUCAAAAUCGCAGUCGAAACUAUUAGGCUAGAGUAUAGUAGGGGUAAAGGGAAUUUCCAGUGGAGCGGUGAAAUGCGUAGAGAUUGGAAAGAACGCCGAUGGCGAAGGCACUUUACUGGGCUAUUACUAACACUCAGAGACGAAAGCUAGGGUAGCAAAUGGG